rnacentral:RNase_P_RNA from 1 species
UGAGCAAGCCAGGCAAUCGCGCGCGCGGUUCUUUAGGGGCCAAGCGUGAGGAAAGUCCGGGCUCCAUAGGGCAAGGGUGCCGGAUAACGUCCGGUGAAGGUGACUUUAAGGAAAGUGCAACAGAAACACACCGCCGAAACGGGGCGCGUCGCGUCGUCCGUGGCAAGGUUGAAAUGGUGAGGCAAGAGCUCACCGGCGGCAUGGUGACAUGCCGGCCGUGUAAACCCCACCCGGAGCAAGGCCAAGCAGGGCGUGAAAAAGGCGGCUGCCCGUCGCCGCCCGGAAUGGUGGGCCGCAUGAGCCUGUCGGUAACGGCAGGCCUAGAUAGAUGAUUGCUUAAUACAGAACCCGGCUUAUGGCUUGCUCAUUUA